UAGAACAUUGAAAGGCUAGAAUUAGUAAACAACAACUUUGUUUGAGUCCAACAUGUGCACAGGGGCAAGAGGGGUGUUUUGUUUACAAACAUAUUUGCCGAUUCUCUGUUGUCAAGUCGACGCAAAUUUCCAACGGAGGAAAUUUUUAGCUAUAUUUUAACAACCAUUAUAACGUUAAUUUAACUCAUUUGUGUAGUAUUUUAUAGGAAAAUUUAAAAUAAAAAGUAUAAAUACUACAAUUAACCUAUUUUAAGAAUAAAUAUAAUAUCCUUAAGCAUAAAAAAACAAAAUUACUAACAUUGUUAUCCCUAAAACUGCUUCUAAAAAAUUUGAAGCGACAACACCGGAGCUUAAGCGUCUGAGCCAUACGCGUAGUGUCAUCUGUCAAACGGCUUUUUGUUUAUUUUCGGGAUUCGUGUAUUUUCUUUAAUUUUCGGUUUCAAAAGGAAAAAGGCCACAUUUUAGUGUUUUUUUAAAUUGCUAGGAUGGGAAAAACUUGUGUCGUUUGUGUCGCAUCGUGAUAAAAAGGUGAUUCAAGCCGAUCUUUUCACAAAUUGCCUAAUAUAUGCCCAAAGGGAACAAUGGAUUUCAUUAAUGGAAAUCAACAAAAUUAAACAGAACAUAUUUGUUUGUUCAGAUCACAUCCUUAGAAGUGAUUUCUUAUAUAAGGAAGAUAAUAUUAUCAGUAGCCAGACUUAGACCAAACAGAUUAAAAAAAUCAGCUCUACCUCAAAGGAUUUCUGAUGCACUGGUUAAAAACACAGCAGCUGAUAAUUCAGUUAAUUUACCAAGUGAUUUACCCUUCAAAGCUGCAAGGGUAGUUUUCCUGAAGAGUGCAAAAACUUCUUUAGCUUCCAAAAUGGUAUAUAGUACAAACAGUGAAGCUGAUAUAGACAAAUCUGAUCAUUCAUCAUCAACAAUAACUGCAUCUGACAUUAAUAGUUCUACAGUAACCGUGGGGUCUAGGUCAACAAUUACUAUUUCUUAUCCAAGCCGUUUUUGUUUAACUGCUACAUAUUCCCUGACUCUGCCAAGGAAAAGGGUAAAAUCAAAAUGAUAUCCUGAGGACCUAAGCACUGAUGAUUCCACCGUUUCAAAAGCUAAAUCACUUGUUACCAAAUUAUGGAAAAAAAAUAAAGAGCAAAAAAUUAAAAUUCGAAGAUUGCAAUAAACAAAUUUGCCCCAAAGAAAUUGAAUUAGAUGUCUCAAGUCAUUAUUAAAAUACUUAAGAAAUAAUAACAUGAUUUUUGAAAAAGCCCAACAUACUACAUAAUUUAUUUGACUUGUAAAAGUACUUGAUUGUAUAUUUUUACUAAUAAACUAUUUAAUCUAA